rnacentral:rRNA from 1 species
UGGGGAAUUUUGCGCAAUGGGGGAAACCCUGACGCAGCAACGCCGCGUGGAGGAUGAAGUCCUUCGGGACGUAAACUCCUUUCGAUCGGGACGAUUAUGACGGUACCGGAAGAAGAAGCCCCGGCUAACUUCGUGCCAGCAGCCGCGGUAAUACGGGGGGGGCAAGCGUUGUUCGGAAUUACUGGGCGUAAAGGGCUCGUAGGCGGCCAACUAAGUCGGAUGUGAAAUCCCCAGGCUUAACCUGGGAACUGCAUCCGAUACUGGAUGGCUUGAAUCCGGGAGAGGGAUGCAGAAUUCCAGGUGUAGCGGUGAAAUGCGUAGAUAUCUGGAGGAAUACCGGUGGCGAAGGCGGCAUCCUGGACCGGCAUUGACGCUGAGGAGCGAAAGCUAGGGGAGCAAAC